rnacentral:rRNA from 1 species
AGGAUGAACGCUAGCGGGAGGCUUAACACAUGCAAGUCGAGGCAGCAUUUACUUCGGUAAGAUGGCGACCGGCGCACGGGUGCGUAACGCGUAUGCAACCUACCUUAUACAGGGGAAUAGCCCAUGGAAACGUGGAUUAAUACCUCAUAGUAUUGUUUUAUCGCAUGAUAUUACAAUUAAAAUUUCGAUGGUAUAAGAUGGGCAUGCGUCUGAUUAGCUAGUUGGUGAGGUAAUGGCUCACCAAGGCAACGAUCAGUAGGGGUUCUGAGAGGAUUAUCCCCCACACUGGUACUGAGACACGGACCAGACUCCUACGGGAGGCAGCAGUGAGGAAUAUUGGUCAAUGGACGAAAGUCUGAACCAGCCAUCCCGCGUGCAGGAUGACGGCCCUAUGGGUUGUAAACUGCUUUUCUACGCCAAGAAACCUACCAACGUGUUGGUAGUUGACGGUAGCGUAGGAAUAAGCACCGGCUAACUCCGUGCCAGCAGCCGCGGUAAUACGGAGGGUGCAAGCGUUAUCCGGAUUCAUUGGGUUUAAAGGGUGCGCAGGCGGGCUUGUAAGUCAGUGGUGAAAUCUUGCCGCUUAACGGUAAAAUUGCCAUUGAUACUGCAGGUCUUGAGUAUGGUUGAGGUAGGUGGAAUGUGUUGUGUAGCGGUGAAAUGCAUAGAUAUGACACAGAACGCCAAUUGCGAAGGCAACUUACUAAGCCAUCACUGACGCUGAGGCACGAAAGCGUGGGUAGCGAACAGGAUUAGAUACCCUGGUAGUCCACGCUGUAAACGAUGUUCACUCGCUGUUUGCGAUACACAGUAAGCGGCUGA